rnacentral:rRNA from 1 species
AGGACGAACGCUGGCGGCGUGCUUAACACAUGCAAGUCGAACGAGGUCCACCCACUCGCAAGAGUGGUGAAGACCUAGUGGCGAACGGGUGAGUAACACGUGAGGAACGUGCCCCGGAGACCGGGAUAACAGCGGGAAACCGCUGCUAAUACCGGAUACCUUCCUUUGAUCGCAUGAUCAGUUGAAGAAAUGGAUUCCGCUCCGGGAGCGCCUCGCGGUCUAUCAGCUUGUUGGUGGGGUAACGGCCUACCAAGGCGACGACGGAUAGCUGGUCUGAGAGGACGAUCAGCCACACUGGGACUGAGACACGGCCCAGACUCCUACGGAGGCAGCAGUGGGGAAUCUUGCCCAAUGGGCGAAAGCCUGAGGCAGCAAACGCCGCGUGUGGGAUGAAGGCCCUUGGUUGUAAACCACUUUCAGCAGGACGAAAAUGACGGUACCUGCAGAAGAAGCCCGGCAACUACGUGCCAGCAGCCGC